rfam:Homo sapiens chromosome 6 genomic contig, GRCh38 reference assembly alternate locus group ALT_REF_LOCI_2.
GCUCCAGUGGCGCAAUCGGUUAGCGCGCGGUACUUAUAAGACAGUGCACCUGUGAGCAAUGCCGAGGUUGUGAGUUCAAGCCUCACCUGGAGCA